rnacentral:tRNA from 1 species
CCUUCGAUAGCUCAGUUGGAAGAGCGCGAGACUGUAAUUGGAUAUGUCAUCUUGAGGUCGCUGGUUCAAUCCCGGCUCGAAGGA